GCCGCGCCGCCCCUAGGGAGCCAGAGACCGCUCUCCGCGCCGGGUUUUACUUCGAGCCGGGCGGGAGGGCACAGCCGCAGCCUGGGGCCGGGGCCGCCUGGCAGAGGAGUCAUCCCAGAAGUAUCAAGUUUAAAAAGGGUAGCUCACAUGCCUCCUGCUGUAAAGUAAACACGUCUCAGGCCCUCUGAUUUGAAGGAGCCUUCUUGCUGAAGAUAACUUGAGGGAAUCAGCUCUCCCUCCACCCUGCAAGUCCUGGCAAUCAAAUCCAGGUCAUCAGUUUUGGCAGCAAACAACCUCACCUGGAGACCCAUCCCACACACCCACAGUUAUGUUUAACGGAAUGUCAACGGGCUCUCUCAUUGUUAAGUGUUUACCUUUGGUAUCAUUAAAGGGCCAAAAGUAAUGAUUAAGAAGUUUACCUUUUAACACUGUUGUCUGCGCAUAAGUUGACAGAAGCACUAGAGAAAGUAUCAAAAUACUGUUUAGCAUAUGGCUUCCAUCCAGAAAUGCCAGUGUGGGAGUCCCAUAAAAAGAAAUUUUGAAGCCGGGUGGUGGUGGCACACACCUUUAAUGCCAGCACUCAGGAGGCAGAGGCAGGCAGAUCUCUAGCUGGAGGCCAGCCUGGUAUACAGAGUGAGUUCAGGAUGGUCAAGGCUAUACAGAAAAAAAAACCUGUUCUGGAAAAACCAAAGAAGAAAAGAAAGAAUGAAAGGAAGGAAGGAAGGAAGGAAGGAAGAAAACAUUUGAUUGCAUAAGUUUAGGUGUGUAGGACUGCAGAUAACAGUCCAUUCCAUAUGACGGGAACAGAAGGCAGCCUUUCUGACCAUGG